AGACCAGAUUUCAUGGGAGAAGACCAGAUUUCACAGCCCCGAUGCAUUUUUCAUGACUGUGAAUUUGGUAGGGCCCUAAUCCUUGGGAUAGAUUAGGAAAUGAUGUUGUAAAUUUUUACCACAAUUCUGGUUCUGCCACCCAUUUAAGUGAAGGUGGGAGCAGAAAGAUCGAGACAGACUCUGCUAUCUUGUCACAGCUGAAUAUUGCUUGUGAAAAUACAAACAAUGCAGCUGCAAAGACGGGGGAGUGAUUUUCCCUCAGCGUGUCUCACCAUCCCACGCUGAGUGAAAAUGCAAAUGAGUCAGGGGAUGGGGGAGGGGACAUUUGUUUCAUACAUGCUGGGAUGAGUGAAGCAACUAGCUCAAGGGCAGGCACACAGAGUCCAAACUCAGAAGGCAAGUUCACAACCUCCCCUUAUCAUGGAAACUAGGGCUUUGCCAUAGGAAAGGAGGUGGGACAAAGAGAGGAAUCUGGAUCUGAGAAUUCGCCCCUGAGGAGUGAAAUGGUUUCCUCAGAUACACAUAGCCCAGGCAUAGAAGACACACUCUGGGAGGACAUGUCAAAGCUGGGGUGGGGUGCAAAUCUCUGUCCCACCUGACACUAGGUCAUAAGAAACCAGGGGUUAAUGCUUGGUUAAGGCCAGCUCUGCAAGGAGCCAGGACAGUCCUGUCCGUCUGGACUGAUCAAAGCAGUGAGUCCUAUACAACCUCAAGGAAAACUCACAGGUGCAGCCUGGGCAGUUGGCACCUUAAUGAAAGAGAGCUCACCAUCCAUCUCACACCCUACUAGAUGAAUAGGAGGAGGAAGUAACAAGAUCAGGUCCCAGCUUCAAUCCCCAAAGCUGAAUGGAGAGUAAAGGGGGACCAGGAGGGUACAUGUGAACUCUCCUAGGUAUCUGAGUUACAUUCAUGUUUAACUAGGGGAGAUGUGAAGAAUGUGUGGUUACGCUGUAACAAUAUACGAAUGUUAUAUGUUC